GACGAACGCUGGCGGCGUGCUUAACACAUGCAAGUCGAGCGGUAAGGCCCUUUCGGGGGUACACGAGCGGCGAACGGGUGAGUAACACGUGGGUGACCUGCCCUUAGCUCUGGGAUAAGCCUGGGAAACUGGGUCUAAUACCGGAUAUGACUCCAUGACGCAUGUUGUGGGGUGGAAAGCCUUGUGCGGCUAGGGAUGGGCCCGCGGCCUAUCAGCUUGUUGGUGGGGUGANGGCCUACCAAGGCGACGACGGGUAGCCGGCCUGAGAGGGCGACCGGCCACACUGGGACUGAGACACGGCCCAGACUCCUACGGGAGGCAGCAGUGGGGAAUCUUGCGCAAUGGGCGAAAGCCUGACGCAGCGACGCCGCGUGGGGAUGACGGCCU
rnacentral:rRNA from 1 species